UCUUCCCCAGCCCCGCUGAGACUCCCACGCGUAGCACAUAAAAAGGAAAAGAAGAAGAACAAAAAAUAGAAACGAAGGAGCCACCGCAGCCGCGCGUUCACCAUCCUCCCCUUCCCCUCCCCAACACCUGCGUCUCUUCCUCUACACAGGGGCCCCACACAACAAAGGACCAAGCACAAACACGCUCUCUGCAGACAAGAUGGACGCUCCCGCUGCGUACCCUCCCUGGGAGGAAGAAAAAGACGAUGUCGCCAAGUUUGGCUACCGGCAGCAGCGAUUUCCGCAGGCAGGAUAUAGUCGUUUUCCCGUGGCUCAGCCCCAGCAGCGUCCACCCCAGCAACCGCAGCCACAGCUGCAGCAGGCGGCACUGCCGCAACAGGUCGCCCGUCUGGAGCCUAGCCAGUACCCUGAUGUGGUGCGGGAGAUGCUGAUGCACAUUCAGAACUUGUAUCACCAAGACACGCGCGAGCGAGCCAUCUUGACCUUGUCCAAGAAGCGUGAGAAGUUCACCUUACUCGGCCCGACUCUGUGGUACAGCGUCGGUGUCAUGGCGAUCUUUUUGCAAGAGAUCGUAUCCAUGUACCCUCUCCUCAACACGCCCUCCUCGGCCCCGGUGAAGCCGAUCAUCAACCGCGUUAGUAGCGUGCUUACCCUGCUACAGGUUAUCGCCCAGCACGACGCAUCGCGGCGGCCGUUUAUGGAGUCCAAUAUUUGCCUCUUUCUCUACCCGUUUCUGCGCGCCACCCCAGCAGAGCGGUCCGAGGUACUGCGCCUGACGUCUCUGGGCGUCAUCGGUGCGUUAGUCAAGGCUGACGACCCGGCCAUCAUUUCCUACCUCCUCAACACAGAAAUCUUUCCGAUUUGCCUGAAGAUCAUGGAGCAGGCGAUCGAGAUUUCGAAGAUCAUCUCUACCUUCAUCAUCCAGAAGCUUCUGAUGUCGGACCAGGGCCUGGUGUACGCCUGCCAGAACCCCAGCCGCUUCACCGCUGUCGCCGACGUCCUGCAUCGCAUGGUGGCGGAGAAAGGACAGCAGAACGAGCACGUGUGCGGGCCGCGCCUUCUGAAGCACAUCAUCCGCUGCUACCUUCGCCUCUCUGAAAACGAGCGUGCGCGUGAGGCGCUGCCCAAGAUUCUCCCCGAGGAGCUGCGUAACAACACCUUCCAAGAGUACCUGGACGAAGACAUAAACAUGAGGAAGUGGCUCCUCCAGCUGCUCGUCAACGUUGGAGAUGAAGGUGCGCGCCGCAUCAGCGAAACCGCAAAGCAUGCACAGUAGUAGCCAAGCGCGCACUCCUUCCGCCCCCAUCGCCUCCCUUAACGGGCUCUAUGGUGCGACGUCUCCGGCUGUUCCUUCUUCGUUGUUGCCGUCAGUGUUGUCUUCCACUUCGCUCACGCACGCUCGCGCGCGCUUCGUUAUUAUUAUUGCUCUUUUUGCCUGUAUGCGUGCGUCCGUGCCUCCGAGUGUGCUUCGCAGGUUUGGUGCGCCGACGUGUAGCCGCGGAUUGCCAGCAUUCGCCUCCCUCUCCCAGCGACUUCCAAAUCAUCCUUCCACGACUUCGCUAGGGCAGUAAGUUGUCACGACGACUCUUGACAAGAUCUCCGGUGUGAGCCCCCACAGCGUUCGCUCUCUCUCUCUCUCUUUUUUGUGUCUCACGUUUUGGUGUUGCUACGUGUGUGUCUGUGUCUGUGUGUAGGUGGGUGGGUGCUCGCCUGUUUUGGAAUAAUGUCCCGCUUCAUAGAUGUCCGCGUCCUGAGGAGAUUGCGGUUUCGUGAGAGCGAAUGUGCGCCUGAACGGCGUGGGCUGGCUCAUGCCGGGGUCUGUUGUAGGAACCAGAAGUAUAUAUAUAUAUAUAUACAUAUAUGGCGUGCCUAUUGGGCGCGGCGCUGUUCUCUGCGCAGCCAAGGCAGGAGCGCGAAUCACAGCAGGGGUCGUGUCGUUG
rnacentral:misc_RNA from 1 species